AUCAAAUUAUGGAAAGAGACAUGGGGGGGGAAAGAGAAAACUGUCCAGACUCCAAAGUACAGACAUGGCAAUAGUGAGUCAGUCAGCAGUCAGUCUACCCUUGGAUAGCUGCUAAUAAGAAACUGUCCUGAUUCCUCAGAUUACAGAAGGACGAAACAGUACUGUGACCCCAGGGAGCUACCAGCCUAGGGGGAAGACCGGACAUGAGUGUAGGGUAUUCAAAAAACAAGCCAGUGAGGACUGCAGCCUCUGGUCAGGCAGAGGUGAUGUCUGUCCUGUUCAACCCUAAACUUAGCACAAUAGCUGGUACAUAGUAUGUGUUCAUUAAAUAUUUACUGAGUGGAUGAAUGUGUGAAUAAUGGAUGAAUAAAUGUGUUGGACUAGAUGAAACAUAGUCUCUCCCAGCUCUAAAUUUUUAUGACUAUUUAACUGUGAGUGCAUAUGGAGUGAAAAAUACAUGUCAAUUCUGGAAGGAAGUGAGAAGCGCCGACAGAAUCAGUCUUAAUAGGUUUUCAGGAACAAAGAAAUGUGGUACAGAUUUGACCAAAGCCUAGGAAGUGGCGGGUGAUGAUGCGGAAGGGUGCAGAAACAGAGCUAGACUUGGACCCAAGGGGCUUGUGUUAGAAGCUGGCCCUUGGCUGGCUGCGGACUCCAGCAAGUUUCUUAAUUGGACAAAAGCCUCAACUACAAAAUGGCGACAGUGCUAAGAUGAUGAUGAUGUAGGAAUUGGACGAGGUUGUGUGGUAGUGCCGGGGCGGCACUUGGAUGUUUAGAUGUUCCACAGAUAUGGUUGUUGCGUACAAAAAGGUGGGGUGUCUCAAGAGAAUGAGGUGGUUCUUUUGAAACUGUUGAAUGGGGGAAAGGAGGAGGACAGGCAGGGUGGAAGUAGGGCUCAGGUUGGACAGGGAGGGGCAGAGGUCCAAUCAUUAGCAAACAGAGGAGAUGGGGUGAAGGGAAACAGCGAUGGGGGGAGCCGUGCCCAGCCAUGUUGAGGCUGACAGAGCAAGGACAGAGGACUCACUCACCUGCUGACAUGCCAUCUGGACCUGCAAAAGUCCAGAGAAGUUAGGGAGCGGUCUGAGCCACGAGGUGUGCUGCAGCCAGCGGACCAGGAGCUUUGCUUAUAAAUGUUGUGUUGCAGCCCAGAGACCCCGAGGACCUCAGACUUGCCGUCCUGACUUCCAACAGAUGCAGGACCGCAUGUGGGUUUGCUCGCAUUUGCAGACCCCACUCCUACCCGCCGUGUUAUCCUCCUGCCACCUCACGUGUCUGCUGAUUUUAAGACACAGGCUUGCUGGAGCAUGAC